AGGCUUAACACAUGCAAGUCGAGCGCCCCGCAAGGGGAGCGGCAGACGGGUGAGUAACGCGUGGGAAUCUACCUUUUGCUACGGAAUAACGCAGGGAAACUUGUGCUAAUACCGUAUGUGUCCUUCGGGAGAAAGAUUUAUCGGCAAGAGAUGAGCCCGCGUUGGAUUAGCUAGUUGGUGGGGUAAAGGCCUACCAAGGCGACGAUCCAUAGCUGGUCUGAGAGGAUGAUCAGCCACAUUGGGACUGAGACACGGCCCAA
rnacentral:rRNA from 2 species